GAUUCUAAGAAGGUUUUAAAAAGAUUUUGUUAGAACAUUUUAAAUAUAUUCAUUUGUAUUUCAAAUAAAAAAAUAAAGAUAUUUAAAGAUAUAAUAAUGAACUUAUGUAAAAUAUGAUAUUUUCUAGGAAUGGUCUAAACUAAAAAAAUCACACAUGAAAAGAAGUCAUGACUUCUGUUUUAAUAUAUAAGAUAGCCAUAACCCUUACUUUUGAAACCGGGCUCAAAAAGGGUUAGCCAUAAAUUUUACGGGGCUUAAGAUUUAAUCCAUUUAUUUUGAUCACCCCACUAUUACAUAAUAUUAAGGGGGAAUUUUACUUAUACACUUUUUAUGAUACCACUUUUCAACUUUACCAUCAAUCAAAAGGCAUUUUCAAAAAUACCACAUUCAUUAAUGUGUAAAAGAAAAUAUUGCCCUUAACUUAUCUUCAACUCAUUUCUCUCUCUCUCGUGAAUCUCCGUCUAUCGUCUCUGUUCAGAUCUGCUGUUUUCCGUUCAGAUCCGCCGUCUCCGUUCAGAUUCGCCGUCUCUGUCCUUCAGAUCCACCGUCUCUGUCCUGAACCGACGUCUUCGUCCAGAUUCGUCGUCUUCGUCCAGAUCCACGAAGCAAUCGAGAUCGAGACUCAAAACUUCAAAUGUUGAAUCCUCAGCAAGAAUCACAACCUAUUGCAGAGUCUGUUUCUUUUAGCAGCGAUAAAAAGUAUGAUAUAACGCAAGUGAAGGCUCCACCUCAGCUGCAGAAAAUGAUGUGUUAAGUAACUCAAUCAACUAAAAGACAAUUUAGAAAGGCUUAUAAGACAGUUUAUAAAGUUUGUUAAAUAAUUUAUAAGGUUUAUAAAUUCUGCACAA